rnacentral:rRNA from 1 species
CCUACGGGAGGCUGCAGUGGGGAAUAUUGGACAAUGGGGGGAACCCUGAUCCAGCCAUGCCGCGUGUGUGAAGAAGGCCCUCGGGGUGUAAAGCACUUUCAGUGAGGAAGAACGCCUGGUGGUUAAUACCCAUCAGGAAAGACAUCACUCACAGAAGAAGCACCGGCUAACUCCGUGCCAGCAGCCGCGGUAAUACGGAGGGUGCGAGCGUUAAUCGGAAUUACUGGGCGUAAAGCGCGCGUAGGUGGCUUGAUAAGCCGGUUGUGAAAGCCCCGGGCUCAACCUGGGAACGGCAUCCGGACCUGUCAAGCUAGAGUGCAGGAGAGGAAGGUAGAAUUCCCGGUGUAGCGGUGAAAUGCGUAGAGAUCGGGAGGAAUACCAGUGGCGAAGGCGGCCUUCUGGACUGACACUGACACUGAGGUGCGAAAGCGUGGGUAGCAAACAGGAUUAGAUACCCCGGUAGUC